rfam:Rattus norvegicus chromosome 6, whole genome shotgun sequence.
GGGGAUUUAGUUCAGUGGUAGAGCGUUUGCCUAGCAAGCGCAAGGCCCUGGGUUCGUUCCCCAGCUCCA